rnacentral:lncRNA from 1 species
UGUCACCAAAAUUAUUAGCCUUCUCAAAGAUGGAGAUAAUGUCUUUUAAUCUUCAGAGGAUAUCCAAUAGCAUAUCAUUCAAUAUUUCUCAAGCCUAUUUGCUAUAGACAACAACUGCAUACAUAAUAAUUUGAUUUCCAUGUUAAUUCCUAAGCUUGUCUCUAGUGAGGAUAAUGACAUGCUUACAAUAUUGCCCUCUCCA